GCCUGGCUAGCUCAGUCAGAAGAGCAGGUGACUCGAUCUCUGGUUUGUGAGUUCGAACCCCAUGCUGGGUG
rnacentral:tRNA from 1 species